GAUGAACGCUGGCGGCGUGCCUAACACAUGCAAGUCGAACGGUAGCAGGUCUAGUUUACUAGAUGCUGACGAGUGGCGGACGGCUGAGUAACGCGUGGGAACGUGCCCUAAAGCGAGGGAUAACGCACCGAAAGGUGUGCUAAUACCGCAUAUGAUCUUCGGAUUAAAGAAUUUAUUCGCUUUAGGAGCGGCCCGCGUCGGAUUAGGUUGUUGGUGAGGUAAUGGCUCACCAAGCCGACGAUCUGUAGCCGGUCUGAGAGGACGACCAGCCACACUGGGACUGAGACACGGCCCAGACUCCUACGGGAGGCAGCAGUGGGGAAUUUUGGACAAUGGACGCAAGUCUGAUCCAGCCAUUCCGCGUGCAGGACGAAGGCCUUCGGGUUGUAAACUGCUUUUGUACAGAACGAAAAGGUUUCUAUUAAUACUAGGGGCUCAUGACGGUACUGUAAGAAUAAGCACCGGCUAACUACGUGCCAGCCGCCGCCGUAA
rnacentral:rRNA from 1 species